rnacentral:rRNA from 1 species
ACGGCGAGUGAAGCGGGAACAGCUCAAAUUUGAAAUCUGGCCUUCGGGUCCGAAUUGUAAUUUGCAGAGGAUGCUUUUGGUUAGGUACUUUCCGAGUUCCCUGGAACGGGACGCCUUAGAGGGUGAGAGCCCCGUACGGUUGGAUACCGAGCCUUUGUAAAGCUCCUUCGACGAGUCGAGUAGUUUGGGAAUGCUGCUCUAAAUGGGAGGUAAAUUUCUUCUAAAGCUAAAUACCGGCCAGAGACCGAUAGCGCACAAGUAGAGUGAUCGAAAGAUGAAAAGCACUUUGAAAAGAGGGUUAAAUAGCACGUGAAAUUGUUGAAAGGGAAGCGUUUAUGACCAGACUUUUUCCAGGCGGAUCAUCCGGUGUUCUCACCGGUGCACUUCGUCUGGUUGAGGCCAGCAUCGGUUUUCGUAGAGGGAUAAAAGCAGUAGGAAUGUGGUUCCUCCGGGAAUGUUAUAGCCUAUUGUAUAAUACCUUUACGGGGACCGAGGUUCGCGCUCUGCAAGGAUGCUGGCGUAAUGGUCAUCAACGACCCGUCUUGAAACACGGACCAAGGAGUCGAACAUUUGUGCGAGUGUUUGGGUGUUAAACCCUCACGCGUAAUGAAAGUGAACGGAGGUGAGAGCCCUUACGGGUGCAUCAUCGACCGAUCCUGAAGUUUUCGGAUGGAUUUGAGUAAGAGCAUAACUGUUCGGACCCGAAAGAUGGUGAACUAUGCGUGGAUAGGGUGAAGCCAGAGGAAACUCUGGUGGAGGCUCGCAGCGGUUCUGACGUGCAAAUCGAUCGUCAAAUCUGCGCAUGGGGGCGAAAGA